rnacentral:rRNA from 1 species
GGACGGGUGAGUAACACGUGGAUAACCUACCUAUAAGACUGGGAUAACUUCGGGAAACCGGAGCUAAUACCGGAUAAUAUAUUGAACCGCAUGGUUCAAUAGUGAAAGACGGUUUUGCUGUCACUUAUAGAUGGAUCCGCGCCGCAUUAGCUAGUUGGUAAGGUAACGGCUUACCAAGGCGACGAUGCGUAGCCGACCUGAGAGGGUGAUCGGCCACACUGGAACUGAGACACGGUCCAG